rnacentral:ncRNA from 2 species
GUCACCUGAUCGGGAGAACUGGUUUUACCAGUGCCGAAGGAGCAACCGCCCCGGAAUCUCUCAGGCCAAAAGGACCGAUCAGAACUG